GGAGGAGUUUAUUACUGUGUGGCCACUAAUGAUCUGGGUAAUCAGACAUCAGCAGAGAUUAACAUGACUGUUAAAGGCCCAUUGCCUAAAGAGGAAAAUUGUGCUUCAACAGACAAACUGUGGCAACAUAUUGGCGUAAUUAUUGGGAUCAUUUUACUCUUAAUCUUACUCUGCUUGAUAAUCUUUGUUUGCUGGUUAAAAUCAAAGCAUCAAAGACAACAACAGACUCAGAUUCAAAUAAAUGAAAAGCAGGUUGUUGAAGAACCAGGAAGUAAAACAGAGGAAGUUGAAGAAAACAUCCAUUAUAGUGAGAUUAACAUUUCCAAGCAUCAAGCAUCCUCUGACUCAGUGCAGGACAGAAGACAGGAGCAGGAUACAGAGUACGCACAGGUGCAAAUCAGCAAGCCAGAAAACAACUUAACACAGAGUCCUCAUGUCCAGGAGGAACUCUACAGUGAGGUGAAGAAAAUUUAAAAUGUUGUAAAAUGACAUUACUUCAGCAUCGACAUACACACAUGGAGCCUUUCUGUGGGUCAUUUUCACAGUUCAGUGAUGACAAAGAAACAACACCCUGCAACUUUUCAUGUUCUGUUUUCAUUUUCUUGUGUUCAUGAAAAAUCUGAAUAAGGAGAAGUUUCAGCACUUCAAUAAGGAACUGGUUUCACAUGUCAGUUCUGUAAAACUGAAAAUCAAAACCUACACAUGCUGCAGUUGAGUUUUUUUCUGCACUCUGCACUCAACACUUGUGUCAAGCUCACGUUUCCCAGUCUAUGCCUCUCUUUUAUUUUGACAUUCUUGUGUUCCAUGUCCAGUGUGUUUCGUUUUGCUUCCCUUGUGUCAUCGUGUUUAUUUGUAUUGGCUGUUUCCACUUCCCCCAUUAUCCCUCUGUGUAUUUCAAUCUUCUGUCUCCCUUUGUUUAUCUGUUUUUAUUUGUGUCAUGUCACUGGAAUUCUCAAGUCUCAUCAUGUUCAUGUUUCUCAAGUCUAGUCCUAGUUCACCCAGUAUAGGUAAUAGUUUAGUUUUCAGCUUUGUGCGCCUUUGCCAUUUGCUUUUGUAUUUUUUCACCAGCCGGCUCGCUUUUUGUUAAAGAGAGGACAGCUGAUGUCAUUAUGCAUCGGACUGUCAGGGUUCAUAUGCCUUUUUCAGGAUCAAAUUCAAGCACGUUCAGCACUUUCAACGUCCCUUUUCAAGCUUUUCCAGCCCCCCCCCUAUUAAAAUGCAUGUUUCAAUUUGCAUCACCUCAGUAAGACCAUUUAAACAAAUCAUCCUAGGUGAACUUUGUUCCUUUGUUCCCCUUUUGUUAAAAAUGCACCACACAAAAAUACUG